GCACGUAGGCUCUUACAGUACA
rnacentral:miRNA from 1 species